rnacentral:rRNA from 1 species
AUUAACGCUAGCGGCAGGCAUAAUACAUGCAAGUUGAACGGCAGCACAGGUAGCAAUACCGGGUGGCGAGUGGCGCACGGGUGCGUAACACGUAUGCAACCUACCCUAUACAGGCGAAUAACCUUUAGAAAUGAGGGCUAAUACGCCGUGGUAUUAUCUUGGGGCAUCUUGAGAUAAUUAAAGAUUUAUCGGUAUAGGAUGGGCAUGCGUCCCAUUAGUUAGUUGGUAGGGUAACGGCCUACCAAGGCGAUGAUGGGUAGGG